rnacentral:rRNA from 1 species
AACGAACGCUGGCGGCAUGCCUAACACAUGCAAGUCGAACGAGAUCUUCGGGUCUAGUGGCGCACGGGUGCGUAACGCGUGGGAAUCUGCCCUUUGGUUCGGAAUAACAGUUGGAAACGACUGCUAAUACCGGAUGAUGACGAAAGUCCAAAGAUUUAUCGCCAGAGGAUGAGCCCGCGUAGGAUUAGCUAGUCGGUGUGGUAGAGGCGCACCAAGGCGACGAUCCUUAGCUGGUCUGAGAGGAUGAUCAGCCACACUGGGACUGAGACACGGACCAGACUCCUACGGGAGGCAGCAGUGGGGAAUAUUGGACAAUGGGCGAAAGCCUGAUCCAGCAAUGCCGCGUGAGUGAUGAAGGCCUUAGGGUUGUAAAGCUCUUUUACCCGGGAUGAUAAUGACAGUACCGGGAGAAUAAGCUCCGGCUAACUCCGUGCCAGCAGCCGCAGUAAUAC